UUCGGUCUUCGGUAGUGGCUUCCGGAAAUCUUCCGUGGGCUUCGAUCGAUGGCCGCC
rfam:Ruaniaceae bacterium KH17 genome assembly, contig: Ga0066873_102